UACGUAGGGGGCAAGCGUUGUCCGGAUUUAUUGGGCGUAAAGAGCGUGUAGGCGGCCAGACAGGUCAGCUGUGAAAACUCGAGGCUCAACCUCGAGACGUCGGUUGAAACCGUCUGGCUAGAGUCCGGAAGAGGAGAGUGGAAUUCCCGGUGUAGCGGUGAAAUGCGCAGAUAUCGGGAAGAACACCCGUGGCGAAGGCGGCUACUCUCGGGACGGUACUGACGCUGAGACGCGAAAGCGUGGGGAGCGAACGAG
rnacentral:rRNA from 1 species